rnacentral:lncRNA from 1 species
AAAAUUCAAUUGAAGGACAAAGAUAUUUUAAGAGAAGAAGUUAUUGGAACACUAUGGAUUGAUUUAUCAGACAUUUCUAAUAAUGAUUUUUUGCCAACAUUUGGUCCAUCUUGGCUUAACCUCUAUGGUUCUUCUCGAGACUACCAUUUUAUUAA